GCUGUAGCUCAGCAGUAGAGCAUCUGUUUUGAAGUCAGAAGGUCUCAAGUUCAAUCCCCAACAUCUCCA